rnacentral:rRNA from 1 species
AGUGAACGCUGGCGGUAGGCCUAACACAUGCAAGUCGAACGGCAGCACAGUAAGAGCUUGCUCUUACGGGUGGCGAGUGGCGGACGGGUGCGGAAUACAUCGGAAUCUACUUUUUCGUGGGGGCGAAAGUAGGGACACUUACGCUAAUACCGCAUACGACCUACGGGUGAAAGCAGGGGAUCUUCGGACCUUGCGCGAUUGAAUGAGCCGAUGUCGGAUUAGCUAGUUGGCGGGGUAAAGGCCCACCAAGGCGACGAUCCGUAGCUGGUCUGAGAGGAUGAUCAGCCACACUGGAACUGAGACACGGUCCAGACUCCUACGGGAGGCAGCAGUGGGGAAUAUUGGACAAUGGGCGCAAGCCUGAUCCAGCCAUGCCGCGUGUGUGAAGAAGGCCUUCGGGUUGUAAAGCCCUUUUGUUUGGAAAGAAAAGCAGCAGGUUAAUACCCCGCUGUUCUGACGGUACCCAAAGAAUAAGCACCGGCUAACUUCGUG